UUCUACAUGAUAACCACCAACUGUGC
rnacentral:misc_RNA from 1 species